rfam:Clostridium chauvoei JF4335, WGS project CBML01000000 data, contig: 00004
GGAGAGAUGUCCGAGUGGUCGAAGGAGCACGCCUGGAAAGCGUGUAUAGGGGCAACUCUAUCAGGGGUUCAAAUCCCCUUCUCUCCG